rnacentral:lncRNA from 1 species
GUCCUCUUUGACACCUACCUUACUCUCUCCCUCCACUCACACUCUGAGAACUGUGCUCAGGGGCAGCGCUACAACUUCCACAUUGGUCUUUACAGGGCUUGAGUGAUUAUUUCAAGAACAGAACGCUGUGUGGAAACCUUUACCAUAUUUCGUUGUAUCUAAGACACAUUUUUUUUUUUUGAAAUUUAACAUCUCUAAGGUUGGGUUAUGUUUCUUCAUCAUUGUCAGGUUGGAGCUUAAUCAGCAGCACUUUUUUUUAAUGUCACACACAGUAAUGGUGAUGCAUCUCACAAUUGAGAUCAUCUUAGACAUGAUGGAAUAUGGAAUCGUGUGCCUGUUACAAGCCAGGCUCUUGUCUGGGUUCUAGAGACGGUGGAAACCAAGACAGCACCAUCCUCUAGUGGUGUUCACAUCCCACCACAGUGGAGUCAGGACUUUGAAGUCCUCCAUUGGAUCUUCUCGGAAGAUGAGGGAAAUGAGAGAGUGUGGAGAGAGAUUUUGUAAGUCCGGUCUGGAAGUGGUCAUUGUUCAGAAUCCAGCCACGUGGGUACAUGGAACUGUAAGGCUAUUUCAACAUGGGAAACUGAAAUCGGGCAUAUCCCUGCGGAAGAAGCUGUCUCUUAGCGAAGAAUAAAACUGUGGACUGACCCCCACCCAUUUGCGAAGAAAGUACUGGGUCUUCAGCUUUCAUUGUUCAGCCGGUGGUCUUUGUGGACAACACCAGGGGCCCCUCCUGCUGAAGACUGUCUGGACUUCCUGAUUUUCACUCCUGUAUAAACCCCCUCCCCCAUUACUACCUUUGUCUCCUUGGGGAAAAAAAAUGUUUUUCACUUAAGCAAAAUAAUAACUACCCAGUAUUUGUUUCUGGAGUGAAAUUGUAAACUUCAUUGUACAUUCUUCCUGGCUUUGAUGCUUAUCGUGAAGAGUUCAGUGAAAAUAAAUUGUUUUUAUGAAA